GCAGCACGCUCUGCUACUCACUGACUCCCAGUGCCUGAGUCCUUGGUGCUGUGUCUUCUCACCCCCUCUCCCAAGGGGUGUCCGAGAAGGGUAACCUGCAACAUCCGCUGCCUAGACAAGGGGCUCAUGGAUCCCGUGCUGGCAUGAGUCUUGGCCCUGCUUGAAUCAGGGUGUACUCUUUUUUCCAUUGCCGAGGCUGUUCUUUUGGCCCUGGUCUUUGCCUUUUGUUGCAGGCGGUGCAUCAGUGGCUCCUACAUUGGUACACUUUUGCUUUCUCUGUCAGUACCCAUUUGGACUCCUCUUCAUGCUCUAGACGCGUUUUGCUGCCCCUUCUUUGGUGACUUGCCCGGUCCGGACCGUGAGAUUUUAAGGAGUCCUGGCCACAUGGGUGAAGCCAGUGACUUACCAGACACCAGUGGGAGAAAAAUGCAAAUGGCGAAACGUGUCUUUUCCAGUGUGGUUACAGAAAUGAAGCAGUUGCUGCCUGAUUUGGACAGUUUCAAUGGCUCUCUGUGAUGCUCCAUAUAGAAGCAGAAAACCACUCCAAGCCUACAUGCUCCCAGUAUUGCCUGAGUCAUCAUCGAACAUCCUGACCUUUCCAGUAACCUUGCUGGCACAGCAAAUCAGCCAGGAAACAGGAUUGCAGGCACUACACCACUGUGUCUGAUGUCGCGACCGCCUCGACCAGCAAGGAAGACGCGACUCGGCAACUCUUCUCCAAGCGGUUUAUUCAGGAACCUUGAAACAGUCUUCUUCUCCUUCGGGGAAAGCCAGUCCACAGCUUAUAUGACCUAGGCAUAGCCAACCCUAGCAUGCCACUUGGCCAUAGCAGAUAGGUACACACACACACACACACACACACACACACACACACACACACACACACACACACGGAAGCAAGCCAUGGACCCGAGCCUUGACCAAAUAUGGAGUUGUUUACUCCGAGAGGGCUCACCGUUGGGAGGGUGGUAGGCGGAAGCCAGCGCCAUCUUUAAGGCACGGCAUGUCGCAGCUCUCCACAGUCUGACAUUUUGUGUGGGUACUGAGCAUUUGCUGUGUACCAAGCACUUUACUGAUAGAAUUAUUUUCUCCAAUGUCUAGGUUAACUAGGAUAAACAUUGUAAAGUGCUUGGAUAAGGUUUUGAAUAUAAUUACUUUGAUCAAAGUGCUAUAGGACGCAGAUGCAGCUGAAAGUAUCUGAAUGAGGCUUUUGGUACUUAACCCACAUUUCUUUCAUUAGAGAAAACACCAGACUUCAAAGAUGCUUUCUCUUUAGAAGAGAGGAGUUGAGCAGUUUAUGUUCUCACCAUGAAGAAUAUUUUGUGCUUAUAUAUGAAACAUCUAGGGGUGCAGCCAAAAGAUCCUUGCCUCUAUAGAAGACUUUUAUUUUGUUUUGACCUGGCAAAAUAUUGACUUGGAAAAACAACUCAGGAACUCUUGUGCCAAUGUGAAUGUGUAUCCUUUGUCUUGUCUGUUCUUGUCUUUCAUUCACGUCUUCAGAAAUACAAAUAUGGCAUGUAGUAGCUAGUAAGUCAUUGCUUUGCCCUCUUCAUUAAAGAGAACAAUAAUAGCUAUAAAAAUGUAAAGGUAUGAUAUUACAGAGAGCACAGAUGUUCAAGUGUAGGGGAUUUUUUAGAAGUGAAGAUGUCUAAGAGAAUAUUUUAAAAAUGAAAAUGUAAUCACAAAGCAGAACUACUGGAAAAAGCUGUUUCUUUGCUUCCGGAAUUCUCGAGUCAGAUGGUUGAGGUGAGAGGGUUACAUGCUUUUUUGAGAGAGAAAGUAAAUAUGUUUUCAAGCCCGUGGUGUAGAUUUCUUACUGAUCGGGAAUAAAUCAUAUCCUUUUGGCUU